CCACACUCAAACAGGGGACCUUUCUGCAGGAAGAGGCCUUGAAAUGGACUCCCAGAGAGAAUGUCAUCUCCCACAGCCUCCAGUGCCAGCAAGCAAUAAAAGCUCCAAACCAUUAUUUGUGCACUAAUCAUAUUACUACAAAUGUGGAAAGCAGAACAUCAACUAUUUAUACAGCUGGAAAUGGAAGUUGUGAAUUCUCCCCCGACAGUUCAAAGUAUACUAAGUGGUAAAUGUACCAAAAGUUAAAAAACCAGUGAUCUAGAUAAACCAUCAGGCAAAUUACUACCACAUACAUUGUUAGUAUGACAGAACGAGAAGCGUUUAUUAAACCAGAGUGGACUUACACUGUGUCUGGAGAAGGGAAUAUUUUGGAUAAUGUGGCCUGGAUGCAGUUAAUGAGCUGGUCAGUGUUCUGUGCACUAAGUGUCAGCUGGAAGCUUCCUUUCUCGGUCUCAAUAAGAAUCUGCAAAAUAAAAAUGGUUUUAUGUAAGUAAUUGGCUCACGUGCCCACCCAAUAUAGAGGUAGACACACUUUCCUAAGAUAUAACUUCACCAAUACAUUACCUGACUGAUUGUGAUGGCUGUAAGAGAUCGGAUCUCCAACACACUGAAAGAGCUUUCAAUCUAUAAAAGGCAAGAAA